CUGCCCAGAAAAUUUGUGCUGUCGCUACUGCCGCGGAGUCAAAGAAGGAAGAGAAGGUUGAAGAGAUAGAAGAAUCAGACGAGGAUGAUAUGAUUUUCAUUCUCUUUGACUAGAAGCUUUGAUUGGAAGAUUUUGAGGUUUUGCUAUUGGAAUUUAGUUUUUCAGUCUCCAAUUUAUAUGUAUUUGUAUUCUGGGUUUGGUUGAGGAAUUUUUUUUUGAGAUUUUUGGGUGAGAAAAAUUUCUGGGUUUGGGAUGCAAAACAAUGGUAAACACGAUGAGGGAGAUGAAGAUUUAGGUUUUUUAUUAAUAUUAUUAUUAUUUUGUGUA